rnacentral:rRNA from 1 species
AUUGAACGCUGGCGGCAUGCCUUACACAUGCAAGUCGAACGGCAGCACGGGAGCAAUCCUGGUGGCGAGUGGCGAACGGGUGAGUAAUAUAUCGGAACGUGCCCAGUAGUGGGGGAUAACUGCUCGAAAGAGCAGCUAAUACCGCAUACGACCUGAGGGUGAAAGGGGGGGAUCGCAAGACCUCUCGCUAUUGGAGCGGCCGAUAUCAGAUUAGCUAGUUGGUGGGGGAAAGGCCUACCAAGGCAACGAUCUGUAGUUGGUCUGAGAGGACGACCAGCCACAGUGGGACUGAGACCCGGCCCAGACUCCUACGGGAGGCAGCAUUGGGGAAUUUUGGACAAUGGGCGCAAGCCUGAUCCAGCAAUGCCGCGUGCAGGAAGAAGGCCUUCGGGUUGUAAAGGACUUUUGUCGGGGAGGAAAUCCCCAGCGUUAAUACCGCUGGGGGAUGACAGUACCUGAAGAAUAAGCACCGGCUAACUACGUGCCAGCAGCCGCGGUAAGAC